rnacentral:rRNA from 1 species
UACGGGGGGGGCAAGCGUUGUUCGGAAUUACUGGGCGUAAAGGGCGCGUAGGCGGCCUGCUAAGUCACACGUGAAAUCCCUCGGCUCAACCGGGGAACUGCGUGUGAUACUGGCGGGCUUGGAAUUCGGGAGAGGGAUGCGGAAUUCCAGGUGUAGCGGUGAAAUGCGUAGAUAUCUGGAGGAACACCGGUGGCGAAGGCGGCAUCCUGGACCGAGGAUUGACGCUGAGGCGGCGAAAGCUGAGGGGAGCAAACUGGGG